GAUGAACGCUGGCGGCGUGCCUAAUACAUGCAAGUCGAGCGAACAGACGAGGAGCUUGCUCCUCUGACGUUAGCGGCGGACGGGUGAGUACCACGUGGAUAACCUACCUAUAAGACUGGGAUAACUUCGGGAAACCGGAGCUAAUACCGGAUAACAUGUUGAACCGCAUGGUUCAACAGUGAAAGACGGUCUUGCUGUCACUUAUAGAUGGAUCCGCGCCGCAUUAGCUAGUUGGUAAGGUAACGGCUUACCAAGGCAACGAUGCGUAGCCGACCUGAGAGGGGGAUAGGCCACACUGGAGCUGAGACACGGUCCAGACGCCUACGAGAGGCAGCAGUAGGGAAUCUUCCGCAAUGGGCGAGAGCCUGACAGAGCAACGCCGCGUGAGUGAAGAAGGUCUUCGGAGCGUAAAACUCUGUUAUUAGGGAAGAACAAAUGUGUAAGUAACUAUGCACGUCUUGACGGUACCUAAUCAGAAAGCCACGGCUAACUACGUG
rnacentral:rRNA from 1 species